GUAUUUUCGAAUUAGGUCAAUUCAAUGAUACAUUGCUUCAGACAAAACUGUUUUAAAUAGAUUAAUGGAUUAAAGAUUCUGACUUACGCGGCCCACUCGAAAGAGAUAAGCACGCAUAAGUAGAUUCAAACGUUGCACACAAGGUGGGUAUGGAAUUGUUAAAAGUGCCAUAAACACUUAUUGUGAAUGAUCCUUCCGCAGGUUCACCUACGGAAA
rnacentral:misc_RNA from 1 species